rnacentral:rRNA from 2 species
ACGGGAGGCAGCAGUGGGGGAUAUUGGUCAAUGGGGGAAACCCUGAACCAGCAACGCCGCGUGAAGGAAGACGGUCUUCGGAUUGUAAACUUUUGUUGUUGAGGAAGAUAAUGACGGUACUCAACGAGGAAGCCACGGCUAACUACGUGCCAGCAGCCGCGGUAAUACGUAGGUGGCAAGCGUUGUCCGGAUUUACUGGGUGUAAAGGGUGCGUAGGCGGGUUAUAAAGUCAGAUGUGAAAUACCGAGGCUUAACUUCGGGGCUGCAUUUGAAACUUAUGAUCUUGAGUGAGGCAGAGGCAAGCGGAAUUCCUAGUGUAGCGGUGAAAUGCGUAGAUAUUAGGAGGAACACCAGUGGCGAAGGCGGCUUGCUGGGCCUUAACUGACGCUGAGGCACGAAAGCAUGGGGAGCAAACAGGAUUAGAUACCCUGGUA